UGAACUCUUCGCUUCUGGUCAAGCCGCAGCUUUGGGUUGUGGUGAGGGUAGUGGGUAAAGAAGCGCCGGCUAACUACGUGCCAGCAGCCGCGGUAAUACGUAGGGCGCGAGCGUUGUCCGGAUUAUUGGGCGUAAAGGGCUUGUAGGCGGUUGGUCGCGUCUGCCGUGAAAUCCUCUGGCUUAACUGGGGGCGUGCGGUGGGUACGGGCUGGCUUGAGUGCGGUAGGGGAGACUGGAAUUCCUGGUGUAGCGGUGGAAUGCGCAGAUAUCAGGAGGAACACCGGUGGCGAAGGCGGGUCUCUGGGCCGUUACUGACGCUGAGGAGCGAAAGCGUGGGGAGCGAACAGGAUUAGAUACCCUGGUAGUCCCGCUGUAAACGUUGGGCACUAGGUGUGGGGGCCACCCGUGGUUUCUGCGCCGUAGCUAACGCUUUAAGUGCCCCGCCUGGGGAGUACGGCCCGCAAGGCUAAAACUC
rnacentral:rRNA from 1 species